rnacentral:rRNA from 1 species
UACAGAGGGUGCGAGCGUUAAUCGGAAUUACUGGGCGUAAAGCGUGCGCAGACGGUCACGUAAGUCGGGUGUGAAAGCCCCGGGCUCAACCUGGGAAUUGCAUUCGAGACUGCGUGGCUAGGGUGCGGAAGAGGGAAGCGGAAUUUCCGGUGUAGCGGUGAAAUGCGUAGAUAUCGGAAGGAACACCAGUGGCGAAAGCGGCUUCCUGGUCCAGCACCGACGUCAGGCACGAAAGCGUGGGGAGCAAACAGG